rnacentral:rRNA from 1 species
UACGGNAGGCAGCAGUGAGGAAUAUUGGACAAUGGGCGAGAGCCUGAUCCAGCCAUGCCGCGUGCAGGAAGACUGCCCUAUGGGUUGUAAACUGCUUUUAUACAGGAAGAAUAAGCCUUACGUGUAAGGUGAUGACGGUACUGUAAGAAUAAGGACCGGCUAACUCCGUGCCAGCAGCCGCGGUAAUACGGAGGGUCCGAGCGUUAUCCGGAAUUAUUGGGUUUAAAGGGUCCGUAGGCGGAUGAUUAAGUCAGGGGUGAAAGUUUGCAGCUCAACUGUAAAAUUGCCUUUGAUACUGGUCAUCUUGAGUUGUAUUGAAGUAGGCGGAAUAUGUAGUGUAGCGGUGAAAUGCAUAGAUAUUACAUAGAACACCAAUUGCGAAGGCAGCUUACUAAGUACUAACUGACGCUGAUGGACGAAAGCGUGGGUAGCGAACAGGAUUAGAUACCCUGGUAGUCCACGCCGUAAACGAUGGAUACUAGCUGUUCGGGACCUUGAGUUCUGAGCGGCUAAGCGAAAGUGAUAAGUAUCCCACCUGGGGAGUACGNUCGCAAG